rnacentral:lncRNA from 1 species
AGAGAAGAAAACAGAUUUUAUAUUUCGAGAAACUGAGAUUGAUAGCAAGUGGUAGAAAGCAUGGGAUUUUGAUUCUCACAAGCCUGUGUUUGAAUCCCAGCUCCUACCAAAUACCUUAAGCCUGCAUGUUGAUUUUCUCAUCUGCAAAACUGAGACAACUGUAUCAACCUCAUAUGAUUACUGGGAACAUGAAAUGAGGCCAUAUACUUAAAAUAUUGAGCACAGUGUUUGGCAAUAGUUAGCUUUCAUAGUGUGAUUGUUCCCCAAGACAAAUUAACCAAGCACAGUAAGGGGAAAUGGGGCACCAGGCAUACCUAGCAGACCAUGGGUGGGUGUGCUGAAUGAACCACAUUUAUGCUGAUAUGAUGGCUGGGUUUUCUUGAUCUGGACACAUCCUUCCCUUGAGAAGAACAUCUGCUGGCUGAAACUCCUCACCUUGGUCCUGUCCACAUUUCUCCAUUUCCAUCCCCACCCUCUUUUAGUGAAGACCACUCAGGCUUCUCCCAUGUACUAAUCUGCAUAGCUUGUUUAGAGAUUUGAGCCUACAAAAGGAUUCUUAGGCAACAAAAGAGAGAAGUUACUUUGUCCACAUGCUCAAGACGCCUGCUUUGUGGAUAUUAUCAAGACAGAUUGUGUAGCAAAUUGAAGAAGGCCGCCCAGAGUGUCAGAAUGUAUGUACAGUAAUUGAAAAGUAUUGCUUGCACACUUUCAGUAUCUGGACAAUCCCCCAGCAGACAAUGGCAUCAAGGGAUAUAAUGCACCAUAAAGGAUGGAUUCCAGCUGCAUCCAGGACAAAUGUCAUGCACAUGCCCUGAGGAGGGUAGGAAGGGCAUCCACUACACUAAUGGUUUCCAAGGGAGAUGAUACUCCUGUUUUUCAUGAGUCAGAGACAAGAAAGGGGCUUUGUCAAAAACACCCUCUGUGCUCACAUUUGGCUCAGUGUUUUAUGCUUCCUGAACGACCCACCUGAAGAUGUACUGCCUGCUCUUAUUUUGGUGUUUCCCGAGAGUGUCCAGGGUUUCCAUCAUUAACUAAUCCCUAAUCACUAUCCUCCAGUUUUGAAUCACUGAUUCCCCCAAUGUCUCCCACCUGGCUGGUGACUGCACUGUGUUUUCACAGCCACCAAAGGAAUGGUAAACUUUACCUCUCAGAAGACUGAGUGAAGGCUUUGUUUUGCCUUGUGAAUUUGCUCAUUUGGUGUCCUUGGCUUGGGCCUGUGUGGAUGGGACUUGAUUGGAUUUGAGAUUUGAGAUUGAUUUCCUAUGAACUCCACUGGGAGCCAGAAGAAGAAUGGAGUGACAGAGGGACUGCUGAUCUUUGACCCCAGCCAAUUGAUGGCUGUUGUCAUCACUGUUGGUGGCUGCUCUGAACAAGAAUGCAUUGUCUCUCCAUCUAUUGUGGACUUGCCUUCAAAGUCAAUCUUCACAGGAUGUACCCCUUUAAUCAGGGAAUGUGCCCUUCCACCUAGGCAAAGGAUGGAUGAGGAAAGCAGAUAAAAUAGUGAAAUGGAAGCUGCAUGUUGUUGGAUCCCUUGCUUAUCAUUAUGGAGGGAAAGGCCAGGUUUUAUCCCAGUCUGCCUGCUUCGAAUCUCAUCUUCUAGACAAGAGUUUGGUUAAAGGAAAUGAUGUCUGGCGCUAAAAUUUUGCUUAACAGAAUGAUUGGAGAGGGGACCUCUUUUGAGUGACCCUUGAAACGAGGGAGCAAACUAGACAGAGACACCUGGAGGAAGAGGGUCCCACACAGAGGGAGCAGCAAGAGCCGAUGCGCUGAGGUGGGAGGAUACCUGAUGAGCCUGAGGACCAGCAUGGAGGCCCAUGUGGCUGGAAAGAAGGAACAAGCGGGAGAGAGGUCAAAUAAAGAUGUCUCUGAACAAACAAAAAUGGAGGAAAUUCAUCACGAAGAAAACUACACUAUAAGAAAUGCCAAAGUGCAGAUGGAAAAUGAUCCCAGAAGGAAACAGAAAUACUGGAAGGAAUGAGGAGCAAAGUAAAGAUUAAAUAGGUCCUGGAGCUUUUGCAAACCCCAGUAGAAACUUUGGAUCUUGUAGUCCCACCUGCCUUUCC